GACAGAGGAUGCAAGCGUUAUCCGGAAUGAUUGGGCGUAAAGCGCGCGCAGGUGGUUUCUUAAGUCUGAUGUGAAAGCCCACGGCUCAACCGUGGAGGGUCAUUGGAAACUGGGGAACUUGAGUGCAGGAGAGAAGAGUGGAAUUCCACGUGUAGCGGUGAAAUGCGUAGAGAUGUGGAGGAACACCAGUGGCGAAGGCGACUCUUUGGCCUGUAACUGACACUGAGGCGCGAAAGCGUGGGGAGCAAACAGG
rnacentral:rRNA from 1 species